rnacentral:rRNA from 1 species
GUGCCAGCCGCCGCGGUAAUACGGGGGGGGCAAGCGUUGUUCGGAAUUACUGGGCGUAAAGGGCUCGUAGGUGGCCAACUAAGUCGGACGUGAAAUCCCUCGGCUUAACCGGGGAACUGCGUCCGAUACUGGUUGGCUUGAGUUUGGGAGAGGGAUGCGGAAUUCCAGGUGUAGCGGUGAAAUGCGUAGAUAUCUGGAGGAACACCGGUGGCGAAGGCGGCAUCCUGGACCAAUACUGACGCUGAGGAGCGAAAGCCAGGGGAGCAAACGGGAUUAGAUACCCCUGUAGUCC